CACUACACCAUUUUAAAAUAUGAAAGGCUUCGGCUGGAUAUUUUUAUCACCCUUGUCUUUUGCGCACUUGUUGUUUCCUGGGCGGGUUCGCCCGCCACCAGGACCACACCAUAAACCUUUUUUAUGCAGUUGCAAUCAGCGUCAGUAUAACAAAUGUAAAUCAUUUACAACUUUCAACAACGGAUCUCUUGGUUCUGGCAUCGAUGAAAAACGCAGCGAAAUGCGAUACGUAGUGUGAAUUGCAGAAUUCAGUGAAUCAUCGAAUCUUUGAACGCACAUUGCGCCCUUUGGUAUUCCAAAGGGCAUGCCUGUUCGAGCGUCAUUUGUACCCUCAAGCUUUGCUUGGGGUUGGGCGUCUUUUGUCUUUGGCCUCGCCCAAAGACUCACCUUAAAACGAUUGGCAGCCGGCCUACUGGUUUCCCAACGCAGCACAUUUUUGCGCUUGCAAUCACCAGGAGGACGGCAAUCCAUCAAAACUACUUUUUUACGCCUGACCUCCGAUCAGGUAUUGGAUACCCGAUGAACUUAAACAUAUCAAUAAAGGGAAAGAUCAGUAACAAUUAAAAAAUGAUGGCUUCGGUGGAUUAUUUUUAUCACCCUUGUCUUUUGCGCACUUUUUGUUUCCUGGGCGGGUUUGCCCGCCACCAUGACACACCAUAACCUUUUUUUAUGCAGUUGCAUCACGUCAGUAUAACAAAUGUAAAUCUUUUAAACUUUUCAACAACGGAUCUCUUGGUUCUGGCAUCA
rnacentral:rRNA from 1 species